UGAGGUUAAGCGACUAAGCGUACACGGUGGAUGCCCUGGCAGUCAGAGGCGAUGAAGGACGUGCUAAUCUGCGAUAAGCGUCGGUAAGGUGAUAUGAACCGUUAUAACCGGCGAUUUCCGAAUGGGGAAACCCAGUGUGAUUCGUCACACUAUCAUUACGUGAAUACAUAGCGUAAUGAAGCGAACCGGGGGAACUGAAACAUCUAAGUACCCCGAGGAAAAGAAAUCAACCGAGAUUCCCCCAGUAGCGG
rnacentral:rRNA from 1 species